rnacentral:rRNA from 1 species
AGCCCCUUGCUCUACAUAAGGGGUCACGCCUGCCCGGUGGACACCCUAAACGGCCGCGGUAUCUUGACCGUGCAAAGGUAGCAUAAUCACUUGUCCUUUAAAUGGGGACUCGUAUGAAUGGCAAAACCUCUUUUGACUGUCUUUCCCGCCCUCCUUAUAAACUCACAUCCAUGUGAAGAGUCAUGGAUGUUAAAGAAAGACGAGAAGACCCUGUCGAGCUUUAGUCCAAAGGAGAAUAAAAGAGUCAACUUUUAAAGCUCGUUUUCUACAUCUUCUAAAGACUUUGGUUGGGGCAACCAUGGAGAAAAACAACCCUCCAGAAACAGCAGAAGAAAACCAAUUCUCUGUAUAAAAAUAGUGAACCAGGAACUGGAAAACGGAAAAAGUUACCGCAGGGAUAACAGCGUUAUCUUCUCUAAGAGUCCUUAUUGACGAGAAGGUUUGCGACCUCGAUGUUGGAUUAGGGCCCCCACAGGGUGCAGAAGCUCUAAAAGGUUGGACUGUUCGUCCAUUAAAGCCCUACGUGAUC